UGGCCUGUUGGUCAAGUGGUCAAGACGUCGCGUUCUCAGCGCGGAAUCCUGAGUUCGAUCCUCAGACAGGCUAUC
rnacentral:tRNA from 1 species